UACGUAGGGGGCAAGCGUUGUCCGGAAUUAUUGGGCGUAAAGAGCGCGUAGGCGGUCCGAUAAGUCGGCUGUGAAAGUCAAGGGCUCAACCCUUGAAAGCCGGCCGAUACUGUCGGACUAGAGUCCGGAAGAGGCGAGUGGAAUUCCCGGUGUAGCGGUGAAAUGCGCAGAUAUCGGGAGUAACACCAAUGGCGAAGGCAGCUCGCUGGGACGGUACUGACGCUGAGGCACGAAAGUGUGGGGAUCAAACAGG
rnacentral:rRNA from 1 species